CCUACGGGUGGCAGCAGUGGGGAAUAUUGCGCAAUGGGCGAAAGCCUGACGCAGCGACGCCGCGUGAAUGAUGAAGGUCCUCGGAUUGGAAAGUUCUUUUCAAAGGGAAGUAGAAAGUGACGGUACCUUAGGAAUAAGCCUCGGCUAACUACGUGCCAGCAGCCGCGGUGAUACGUAGGCGGCGGGCGUUAUCCGGAAGGACGGGGCGUAAGGGGUGCGUAGGUGGUUUGACAAGUUGGUAGCGUAACUCAGAGGCUCAACCUCGGCACUACUGCCAAAACUGGCGGACUUGAGUGCAUGAAGGGCAGUUGGAAUUCGUAGUGUAGCGGUGGAAUGCGCAGAUAUUAGGAGGAACCCCAGUGGCGAAGGCAGCCUGCUGGACGGUUACUGACGCUGAGGCUCGAAAGCGUGGGUAGCAAACAGGAUUAGAUACCCUAGUAGUC
rnacentral:rRNA from 1 species